GCUGGUCCCUCACGUCGCUGGACAAUCCCAGCCUGUUGGAAAGAUGGAACAAACCCACAGGGAGCGGAUGGCGGCAUGCAAGUACCCCACCGUGCCACGGCAGUGUGGGGGCCAGCGUACCCUCACACCCCUGCCGCAGCGCAGCCUGCGCCUCCCACUUCUCCAGCCCAGCGCCCCACAGGCACUCAGGCCCUCCAGCCCGCGCCUCCCACUUCUCCAGCCCAGCGCCCCACAGGCACUCAGGCCCUCCAGCCCGCGCCUCCCACUUCUCCAGCCCAGCGCCCCACAGGCACUCAGGCCCUCCAGCCUGCUCCCCAGCAAGCACGACAAGAAAGAGCAGCUGGGCCAGGACAGCCGCAGGGCUGAGCCCAGCCCCUCAGCACCCAGCACCUCUGGCCCUCUGCAAGACAGGUCGGGCUCAUCCCACAGCCAGCCUCGCCGAGUACACUGGCCCCACCAGCCCGUCCAGCCCCACUGGAUGGCUGAGGUAACCCAGCAGCGGGGCAGGACUGGGGGUCACCGGCUGAAUCCCAGCGCCCCGGCACCCGGGCUGGCGAGGAAGUAGCUCCCGGCAGCAGCAAUAAAAGAACCAGCUGAUCAGGAGAGCGGUGUGGCUUCUGACAAACAAAGGAUUCUUGGUGUAGCAGAAGAAUAAAAACCCAUGGGUUGUUUCUCACUCUUGAGAGCCCUUUAAAAAUUACACUUUUGGACAUAGUGAAAUAUUUUGUGAAGACGACAAGGAUCCAAGCAAAAAUGCGGAUGCAAGCACAUGUGCAGGAGAAGAGCACCGUCAGAAGAUUCCCCUUAUUUAUUCAUUUCUGCCAUGUGUUUGCACCUACACAGCUAAAAUAUUUCUUGUAGCAGAUCAUUUUUAGUUCUCUUUAUUUUUGCUUUUGACACCGGUAGCGAAUUCCUGUA